rnacentral:tRNA from 1 species
CAUCGCCGCUGCGGAAGGCAUGGAGCGGCUCGCCGCUGCCGUCGGGGAUCGAGACCGGGAUCGCCCGUUCGGCGCCGAGCCGGCGAUGG